rnacentral:tRNA from 1 species
GCUAUUUUGGCAGAUUAGUGCAAUAAAUUUAGAAUUUAUUUAUGUAGAUGUAAGUUACAAAUAGUA